rnacentral:rRNA from 1 species
AACUAACGCUGGCGGCGUGCCUAACACAUGCAAGUCGUACGAGAAAGUUGGCUUCGGCCGAUGAGUAAAGUGGCGCACGGGUGAGUAAUGCGUGGAUAAUCUGCCCUUUAGUUGGGAAUAACGUACCGAAAGGUGCGCUAAUACCUGAUAAUACUGCAUAACUACUGUUGUGUAGUCAAAGAAGGCCUCUGUUUACAAGCUUUUGCUGAAGGAUGAGUCCGCGUACCAUUAGCUGGUUGGUGGGGUAAUGGCCUACCAAGGCUACGAUGGUUAGCUGGUCUGAGAGGAUGAUCAGCCACACUGGAACUGAGACACGGUCCAGACUCCUACGGGAGCAGCAGUGAGGAAUAUUGCGCAAUGGGGCAACCCUGACGCAGCAACGCCGCGUGAGUGAGGAAGGUUUUCGGACCGUAAAGCUCUGUCGAGCGGGAAGAAAUGUAUCAUGGCUAAUAUCCAUGAUACUUGACGGUACCGCGUAAAGG